GCGGGCAAAGCCUAGAGCAGUGGCUCACCUGUGGACUCUAAGCCUGCAUCGUCAUUAUCCCUUGAGAACUUGCUAGAAAUGCAAAUCCCACAACCCACCCCAGGUGUUUUAACAAGCCCUCCAGCUGACCCUAAUGAACACUCAAGUUUGAGAACUGCUGGGCUAGAGGUUGAGUUCAACUCGAGAAGCAAACAGACCACGCUCUGCCAUCUUCUGUCUCCUCAGCUGCUGUUUUGUAUAUGAAACCAGAAGUUGCUGUCGCACCAGUCACAUCACGGGCAUCCACAGUCAGCACCUUCCAUGUGACUCCAAAUCCUGUGCUCACUUGACCUGCUGGGGUCCCAAAUAUCUACAAAGAAAGAGUUUAGAAGAUGGACCUGUCCUUUUCGUUCUAUUUUAUGGAGCUGCACUUGGGAGUUGUGUCUUCCAGUGGCGAGGGGAACCACACAAACAAUCCCCAGGGCCUUUGCCAUCGCUAUCCAGGGCCGCCCCUCCUGAACCACACCCACGUGCCAUGCUCCGGUGCCUUCUCGCCGGGACCACCUGCCAUGCGGCCGGCAGCCAGUUUAUUUUCAAGACAUGUUUCAGUCCCCCCCCCCCCCAAAUGCUGUACAUUUCCUUGGAGGAAGGAAGCACAGAUGUGUGACACUUUCAGCAUGGUGGAGAAGUUCUGGGAGGUACUUUUUCCAACUAAUGAACGGAAAAGCCAUGUUUCCUACCGAGCACCACUUCUUUAACUGUACAACAAAUAGAAGAGAGAGAUGACAAAAGCAAGCGAGACCACUGUUAAGGAAAGCAGCCACUGCUGGAACCAGAUACAAUGCUGAACUUGGUCUUCAAGCUUCCUAUUGCUUUCUAGUAAACGAUUGAGCUAAAGAGGGGAGAAAAGGAUGAAAGUUUGGCAACCUACCCUGGGAGCUGCUGAGAUACCAUACUCACUUGGGAGCCUGCAGAUGGGAUUCUGGAAAACGGGCAGAAGCCCGAGAAGGGACACAGUUGGAAAUAUGGUUGUAUUAUCAAGCUUUGGCUUGAAUGUCAUAUUUGAAAAUGAAAUGCAUGAAGUCGGAUAUGACCAGAUGGCUUUAAGGAACUAAAGACCCUUGGAAACAACUGACCUGGUACCUUGCUUACAGGGUUCCAGACAGCCUUACUAGGAAGCCACCCUUUCUAGAUGGGAGGCAGUGCUUUCACCUGGGCCUUCAGUACCAAACCACCAAGUCCCCCUGUUUCUGUGAGGUGAGAAAACAGAUGCCCAGAGUGUGGCGAGGUGACUUGCUGAUACCCUGCUAAUUUCUAGAUUCCAGUCCAGCUUUGCUGAGUCAUCACCCAGCCCCAGGCCUCCCAUAACACCCCACUGUGGCCAGCCAGGUGACAACUCACCCCCGUGGGGAGACACGACUAUAUCAACUGAUGCACCCGGGUCACAACUGCUGUUGCUGGGCUUGACUCUGUACUUUUCUGGAGCAGUUGUUCUCACCUGUUUACAAAAAAACAGUAGUCACAUAACCUUUAUGCUAUUUGGGGGGAAAUGGCUUUAAAAUGACUUAAAAAUCAUUAAUAAAGUCUAUAAAACAAUCUUGGUAGUUACAUAUAUAGAAUAUAUUAUUCCCAUCUGCAGGAAAAAAGCAUCUCAAUCUACUAGAAAAAAACACUCAUCAGUCUGUUACUUAGCCUUCCUCUUAAACUAAAAACUGUUACAUAUUUAUUCUGUUAAUCACCUGAAUUUAAUAAUUCAUGUUCAAAAACAACGCACAUUAGAACACGUGUUACAAUAGUGUCCAGAAAUUUAAAAGCAGCAAUCAAAGGACAUCUAGGAAGUAGGUGAUUUAAGGAAGUAAUACCCUACAAUAAGGGGCAGUGGUGGAGUCAGUCCUGUUAUACUUAACGCUCAGUGUCAGGUUAGUAUCCAGUAUAAACUAUACUCCAGAAUAUACUACACUUGGGGGAAACUGCACUUUAGAUUUUAUAGUUUUAUUUUUUCACUCUCUAUGAAUUAAAUUAUUCAUACAAUGAAAAGUGUCUUUUUUUUUUUAAACAAACCCUGGGACUAAUUUGGACAGUAGCCUAUUACUGCACAUUAAAGACUAAGAUACAGACCUUAGGGAAAAUUUUAGAUAAGCUGUGACACACAGAGAUAGAAGGCAGUAUGACAAGCCUAAAAACAGAAAUAAAACCACUGUGCAAGUUCAAAAUUAUCAAUCUUUCAAUUUUCACACACAAUUUAUAUCUUUCAGGUAUUUACCUUAAAUGCCACUAUGUUUUUCGUUACAUUUGUCAACGUUAUUAAAGCUUUCUUUUCUUCAGAUUCUGUACUUCCAAAAUACAGUUCUUCCGCUGGGCUAGGUGACAACAAAAGCAUAAGCCAAUGGUAUUGCUCAGGAUAAAUGACAAUCUAAUCAUCAGCUUGAAGAAAAACAUUUGGUUAAUAUUUUACACUCAUUUGUAGAAAGAGAUUUCAUCAAAGGAGAUUACAAAACAAUACCUAAUAUAUUUUGUAUUUUAAUCUUACUGAUUCAAUGCACACUAAAAAGUCCUAUGGUUUCCCCCUAGAUCUAAAAGCAAAAUAGGGAAGUACAGGAGCGAAUUAGGAAGAUUCUGAAUUAGUCCUAUAAUCAGCACCAUCUUAAGGUUUCUUUAUCAAAACUGUUUGGUAGGUGAAAGAUAAAAAUCAGAGAAGAAACUGCUGCUUCAGCUUUACCUAAUUACAAACAUUAGAAUGGGGCACAUUUUUAUACAUCAAGAGAAAAGAGUAUAACUUAAAAUGGUCAUCAGGGAUAUAUUUAAGUAACAGAAUAAGUCCUGACUAUAGAAAGGUUUUUUCUAAAUAAUAUGGAAGGAGAAAAACACAAAAUAUGGGGCAGGAAUUACAGGAAAAAAUUGUCAAAAAAUCAGUGAGGCUCAAAAUGCAAAUUUUACUAUUACUGGCCACUGUAUUUAAAAAUAAAAAGAC